UAUGAUCCAGAGUACCACGGGACACGUGAAACCCUGUGGGAAGCAGGAGGGACCACCCUCCAAGGCUAAAUACUACCUAGUGACCGAUAGCGUAUAGUACCGUGAGGGAAAGGUGAAAAGAACCCCGGGAGGGGAGUGAAAUAGAACCUGAAACCCUGCACUUACAAGCUGUGGAAGCACAUUUCUUGUGUGACCGCGUACUUUUUGUAGAACGGGCCAACGAGUUACGUUAAGUAGCA
rnacentral:rRNA from 1 species